GUGGGGAAUAUUGCACAAUGGGCGAAAGCCUGAUGCAGCGACGCCGCGUGAGGGAUGACGGCCUUCGGGUUGUAAACCUCUUUCAGCAGGGACGAAGCGCAAGUGACGGUACCUGCAGAAGAAGCACCGGCUAACUACGUGCCAGCAGCCGCGGUAAUACGUAGGGUGCAAGCGUUGUCCGGAAUUACUGGGCGUAAAGAGUUCGUAGGCGGUUUGUCGCGUCGUUUGUGAAAACCAGCAGCUCAACUGCUGGCUUGCAGGCGAUACGGGCAGACUUGAGUACUGCAGGGGAGACUGGAAUUCCUGGUGUAGCGGUGAAAUGCGCAGAUAUCAGGAGGAACACCGGUGGCGAAGGCGGGUCUCUGGGCAGUAACUGACGCUGAGGAACGAAAGCGUGGGUAGCGAACAGGAUUAGAAACCCUAGUAGUCC
rnacentral:rRNA from 2 species